GACGACGCUGGCGGCAGGCCUAACACAUGCAAGUCGAACGAGUGGCGGACGGGUGAGUAAUGUCUGGGAAACUGCCUGAUGGAGGGGGAUAACUACUGGAAACGGUAGCUAAUACCGCAUACCAUCGGAUGUGCCCAGAUGGGUUUAGCUAGUAGGUGGGGUAAAGGCUCACCGAGGCGACGAUCCCUAGCUGGUCUGAGAGGAUUACCAGCCAGACUGGAACUGAGCGACGGUCCAGACGCCCACAGACGUGAGCAGUGGGGAAUAUUGCACAAUGAGCGGAAGACUGAUGCAGACGUGCCGCGUGUAUGAAGAAGGCCUUCGGGUUGUAAAGUACUGUCAGCGGGGAGGCGUUACCCGCAGAAGAAGCACCGGCUAACUCCGUGCCAGCAGCCGCGGUAAUAC
rnacentral:rRNA from 1 species